UACGUAGGGCGCAAGCGUUGUCCGGAAUUAUUGGGCGUAAAGAGCUCGUAGGCGGCUUGUCACGUCGGGUGUGAAAGCCCGGGGCUUAACCCCGGGUCUGCAUUCGAUACGGGCUAGCUAGAGUGUGGUAGGGGAGAUCGGAAUUCCUGGUGUAGCGGUGAAAUGCGCAGAUAUCAGGAGGAACACCGGUGGCGAAGGCGGAUCUCUGGGCCGAUACUGACGCUGAGGAGCGAAAGCAUGGGUAGCGAACAGG
rnacentral:rRNA from 1 species